ACAACCUUAUGGUUUUUUGGAGUGCGGUUGUCCAUCCCUUUUUUCUUCUAUCAAUUGCUCCUGUGUCUCCAGUGACACCUGUGCACUACUGAGUCUCCAGUAACUUCUGUGUCUCCAGUUACACCUGUGCACUACUAAGUCUCCAGUAACUCCUGUGUCUCCAGUGACAAAGGUGUGUUCCUCUGUCUCUAGCGACUCCUGCGUUUCCAGUGACCCAUGUGCGCUCCUACAGUAUGUCUCCAGUGACUCCUGUGCCCCCGGUAUGCUCCUGUCCCCAGUGGCCCCUGAACACUCCUGUGUCUCCAGUGACCCCUGUAUGCUCCCGUGUGACCUCUAUGCACUCCUGUAUCUUAAGGGUGCCCCUGAGUGCCCCUAUGUAUACCCCUAUGUGCUCCUGUGUCACCAGUGAGCUUGGUGUGCUCCUGUGUCUCCAGUGACACCUGUGCACUCGUGAGCCUCCAGUAACUCCUGUGUCUUCAGUGACCAAGGUGUGCUCCUGUAUCUCCAGUGACACCUGUGCACUACUAAGUCUCCAGUAACUCCUAUGUCUCCAGUGACCAAGAGGCGCUCCUGGAUCUCCAGUGACCCAUGUUACACGCCUGUGUCUUCAGUGACCCACAUGCACUCCUAUGCCCUUAGUGACUCCUGUGUUUCCAGUAUGCUCCUGUCUACAGUGACCAUGGUGACCCCUGUACACUCCUGUGUGACUCCUGCAUCUCAAGUGCACCCCUGAGUGCCCCAUGUUUUCCCCUAUGCACUCCUGUGUCUCCAUUGUCCCUGGUGUGCUUUUGUGACUUCAGUGACCCUGGUGUUCUCCUGUGUCUCCAGUGACCCUGGUGGGCUCCUGUGUCUCCAAUGACCAAGGUGUGCUCUAGUGACUCCUGUGUCUCCUAUGACCAAGGUGUGCUCUAGUGACUCCUGUGUCUCCAGUGACCCUGGUGUUCUCCUGUGUCUCCAGUGACCAAGGUGUUCUCUAGUGACUCCUGUGUCUCCAGUGACUAAUGUACACUCCUGUGUCUCCAGUGACCCCCAUGUUUCCCAAGUAUGCCUCUGUGUGUUCUGUGACUCCAGUGUGCCCCUGUGAACCCCUGUGACUCCAUAACUCCAAGCGUACACCUUUGUCUCCAUCCGGCCUCCAGUACCUACCACAACCAUCUGGCCUGCUAAGCUCCAUUGUCAGAACCCUCUGUACCUUCAGGCAUGCUCCUGUAACAUUGUCCCUUGCAAUUUCAGUCCAGAAGGAGCAGUGAGUUGUCAGUCAUCAACAGGAAAUUAGUAGCUUCUGACAGAUCAUGUUCUGUAUUUGAAGGGUCUUUAAAGGGAUAAAUCAUGAGUAGCGGGGCACGUAUGGCAUAAAUGUACUGUGGACCACAGAGAUUCUAACCCCUUUCCACUUUAUCCACAACUGAACAUUUUUAGGCCGAACAUGCUUUUUCAGAAGAAGUAUUACCUAUUGCACUCAUCAACAUACUGGCUUGCCUGUUCAGUCAUAAGAUAUAGCCUGUGCACUCACUGAUGGCACAGGAUUACAUAAGAUCUGACACAUCAAUGACAGCAAGAAAGUGAUUGAACCCACCGGGAUCCGCUCACAACUGGAAUAUGUUAGACAGCCAGAUUGGGGUACAAAAAAAAACAGUUUCCGUCCCUUCUGAUUAUAUCUAGUCCUGCCAUAGCAGACACUUGGUGCUUUUUUUUUUAAUGAACAGUCUGUGAAGAUCCGCUGUGAGACCAGCCCUCUUGUUAUAAGCCGGAGACAAAAUGGCGACACAGUGGUUCAUCCACGCGCUGUAAAAGGUUUAUUUUUUAAAAUGAAAUCUGUACAGAAUGUCUAUUCUCUUUGUAUGUGUAUUUUGAAAGAAAUGUGUAUUUAAUAUAAACUGGUACGAUGAAAAAGAA